rnacentral:rRNA from 1 species
UUUGAUCCUGGCUCAGGAUAAACGCUGGCGGCGUGCCUAACACAUGCAAGUCGAACGCCCUUUCCCGCAAGGGGAAGGGAGUGGCGGACGGGUGAGUAACACAUGGGUGACCUACCCCCGGGUGAGGGAUACCGGCGAGAAAUCGCCGACAAGCCCGCAUAGGCUCUCCUGGCUGAACCCAGGGGAGCAAAGCUUUGCGCGCGCAAGCGCGCGAGGCGCCCGAGGAUGGGCCUGUGGCCGAUUAGCUAGUUGGUGGGGUAAGAGCUCACCAAGGCAACGAUCGGUAGCUGGUCUGAGAGGACGAUCAGCCACACUGGGAUUGAGAACGGCCCAGACUCCUACGGGGGGCAGCAGUGAGGAAUUUUCCGCAAUGGGCGCAAGCCUGACGGAGCAACGCCGCGUGCAGGAGGACGCGUUUCGGCGUGUAAACUGCUUUUUUGUGGGACGAGCAAGGACGGUACCACAGGAAGAAGCCCCGGCUAACUACGUGCCAGCAGCCGCGGUAAUACGUAGGGGGCGAGCGUUGUCCGGAGUUACUGGGCGUAAAGGGCAUGCAGGCGGUGCGGCGCGUUUCGCGUGACAGCGGGGGGGCUUAACUCCCCGAGGGUGCGAAAGACGGCCGCUCUUGAGGGCCAGAGAGGGACACGGAAUUCCCGGUGGAGUGGUGAAAUGCGUAGAGAUCCGAGGAACACGAAGCGAAGCAGUGUCCUGGCUGGUGACUGACGCUGAGGUGCGAAAGCCAGGGGAGCGAACGGGAUUAGAUACCCCGGUAGUCCUGGCCGUAAACGAUGACCACCAGGUGUGGGAGGUAUCGACCCCUUUCCGUGCCGCCGUUAACACCAUGAGUGGUCCGCCUGGGGAGUACGGUCGCAAGAUUAAAACUCAAAGGAAUUGACGGGGACCCGCACAAGCAGCGGAGCGUGUGGUUUAAUUCGAUGCGACGCGAAGCACCUUACCAGGGCUUGACAUGCACGCGCACCUCCUGGAGACAGGAGUGCCCGCAAGGGACGCGUGCACAGGUGCCGCAUGGCUGUCGUCAGCUCGUGCCGUGAGGUGUUGGGUUAAGUCCCGCAACGAGCGCAACCCCUGUGGUCGGUUGAAUUCUCCGAGCAGACUGCCACGCUAAACGUGGAGGAAGGUGGGGAUGACGUCAAGUCAGCACGGCCCUGACGUCCUGGGCGACACACACGCUACAAUGGCCGCGACAACGGGUCGCCAACCCGCGAGGGGGAGCCAAUCCCAACAAACGCGGUCUCAGUUCGGAUGGCAGGCUGCAACCCGCCUGCCUGAAGCCGGAGUUGCUAGUAACCGUGGGUCAGCACACCACGGUGAAUACGUUCCCGGGUCUUGUACACACCGCCCGU